rnacentral:lncRNA from 1 species
AUGGAAAUUAUAUUAGAACUUCAGCAAAGUGCACAGCUGCAUAAUACAGAAGCCGGCACUCAGAUUGACAGGCAAAUAAGCCAGCUUGUGGAAGGGGCCUCUGGGUGGCAGCUCUGGGCUUUUGGGUGUUGGACAACUAUAGGCAAAACUGAAAUGGAACAGGGGCAGGACAUAGCACACUUUUACUCUACGCAACUGUUGCUUUCUCAUGAUCUUCAGGAAUUUUACUGGAAUAAUUGUCAAAAUAAAAUUCCAAGCAUUCUAUGCAAAUGUCUGCAGAUGCACGGCUGGUGGUGUGGCUCAGACGGAGCAAGGGUUACAUCAAGGCUGUUCUCUGGACCGUGCAAACAGUCUAGACCAAUGACCUGCAGCAUCAUGCCCUUUGAAGAAGAGGCAAGUUCGGUCAUGAUGAAGAAAAAUCAAGGCGUACCCCCUUUAACAAUAGGGAGCAGCUCGAGGCUGCAAAGAGGUCAUUAUGUGGCAUUGUAAAGAGAUAGCUCCAAAAUAACAGAGCUGCUUCUAAGAUGAAGAAAACUCCCAAUGUCAAGAUUUGGACAAAGAAGAGAAUUAAAUACUCAAUAUG